rnacentral:lncRNA from 1 species
AAACUUGGCUUUUUUCCCCUCGUUUUCACCGAUUUCCCCUGAAUUUCGCCCAUUUCCGCCCCCCUCCCAACCCGGACGUGACGUCAUCAACCCCUCCGGGAAGUCUCUUUAUUUAUUUAUUUAUUUAUUUGGGGCCCCACUGGGGGGGGAAGGCACGGGGCGGAGUGUGGGGGGGCUGCCCCAUAGAAUCUGUGGGGCAGCCCCAUAGGGAGGUGUGGGGUGGCCCCAUAGAAUGUGUGGGGCAGCCCCAUAGAAUGUGUGGGGCAGCCCCAU